GACAAGGUCUGUGGCUGUUGUUGUCGACAAGAACUGUCUGGCUUGCUGCAUUGUGGGUGUUCUGACUAUUACUGAUGGCCAUGUGAAAAAUGUGAGAGCGUUACCUGGGCCAUCAAGCUACACCUGGUACUGAAAUAAUCCAGGUAGCCAAGCAUGGUGUUUGGCCUUUUGUUGGCUAUGCCACAUUACUGGUUGAUGACACUUGAAAGACACCAUGUAUUUGAGACAACAGCAAAAUCAACAUGGUCCUUAAUACUUCUAAAAUGAUCUGUUGCCAGCCAGCUGACAGUUGUUUGGCUGAAAUUCUUUGUCAACAUUAUUAAUUAACAAUGAGUUGAUGUCUGCUACUUAUUAUGAGUUCAUUUGAAGCCAUGCUC